rnacentral:rRNA from 1 species
AACGAACGCUGGCGGCAUGCCUAACACAUGCAAGUCGAACGAGACGUUCGGGUCGAGGCGCGCACGGGUGCGUAACGCGUGGAAACCUGCCCUUGUGUUCGGAAUAACUCCCCGACAGGGAUUCUAAUCCCGUAUACUGUCUUCGGGCAAAAGAUUUAUCGCCUUUGGAUGGGCCCGCGUAGGAUUAGCUAGUUGGUAGGGUAAAAGCCUACCAAGGCGACGAUCCAUAGCUGGUCUGAGAGGAUGACCAGCCACACUGGGACUGAGACACGGCCCAGACUCCUACGGGAGGCAGCAGUGGGGAAUAUUGGACAAUGGGCGCAAGCCUGAUCCAGCCAUGCCGCGUGAGUGAUGAAGGCCUUAGGGUUGUAAAGCUCUUUUGGCCGGGAUGAUAAUGACGGUACCGGGAGAAUAAGCCCCGGCUAACUCCGUG